rnacentral:rRNA from 1 species
UUUACAGAUUUCUUCGGAAUGAAGUUUUAGUGACUGAGUGGCGGACGGGUGAGUAACGCGUGGGUAACCUGCCUCACACAGGGGGAUAACAGUUGGAAACGGCUGCUAAUACCGCAUAAGCGCACAGUACCGCAUGGUACAGUGUGAAAAACUCCGGUGGUGUGAGAUGGACCCGCGUCUGAUUAGCUAGUUGGCAGGGCAGCGGCCUACCAAGGCGACGAUCAGUAGCCGACCUGAGAGGGUGACCGGCCACAUUGGGACUGAGACACGGCCCAAACUCCUACGGGAGGCAGCAGUGGGGAAUAUUGCACAAUGGGGGAAACCCUGAUGCAGCGACGCCGCGUGAGCGAAGAAGUAUUUCGGUAUGUAAAGCUCUAUCAGCAGGGAAGAAGAAAUGACGGUACCUGACUAAGAAGCACCGGCUAAAUACGUGCCAGCAGCCGCGGUAAUACGUAUGGUGCAAGCGUUAUCCGGAUUUACUGGGUGUAAAGGGAGCGCAGGCGGAAGGCUAAGUCUGAUGUGAAAGCCCGGGGCUCAACCCCUGUACUGCAUUGGAAACUGGUCAUCUAGAGUGUCGGAGGGGUAAGUGGAAUUCCUAGUGUAGCGGUGAAAUGCGUAGAUAUUAGGAGGACACCAGUGGCGAAGGCGGCUUACUGAACG